rnacentral:rRNA from 1 species
UGACGUGGACACUUGUCUCGAAGAAUAAGCCAUGCAUGUUCGUGAAGCUUUUAGUGAAACUGCGAAUGGCUCAGUAAUAUGGUYCUAAUUUGAUCAACAAGCAUUGGAUAACCACGGGAAACUGUGGCUAAUACAUGUAGAAGAUGUUGUAUGGGAAGAAGACAUCAGAUGUUGAGUAAGGGACCAGCCUAUCAGUUUGAUUGUAGUGUAAAGGACUACAAUGACGAUGACGGGUACGGGGAAUCAGGGUUCGAUUCCGGAGAGGGAGCCUGAGAAAUGGCUCCCAGUUCUAAGGAACCCAGCAGGCGCGAACCAUUUUCAAUCUACAAAGGAAAGUGUGAAGAGACGUGAUUCAAGAAGUACUUUAAAAGGGUACUGAUAAACUAGAAGGCAAGCGAGGUGCCAGCAGCUGCGGUAAUUCCCCCUCUAGGAGUGUCUGUGAGUAUUGCUGUGGUUAAAACGUCCGUAGUUGAUAUAAAGAAGUAGUUUGAUCUACUUUGUAUGGUCAUGGAUAAAAGAAUGUGCUUAAAGCGAUCUAAUCCAUGAUACUAGAUGUGAUAAGAGCAGAUGAGGAACACAGGAUUCUGCAGCGAGAGGUGAAAUUUGAUGACCUGCGGGGGACUAACAGAUGCGAAGGCGGUGUUCUAGGAUGUUUCUGUUAAUCAAGGACUUAAGCCAGAGGAUCGAAGGCGAUUAGAGACCGUCGUAGUUCUGAGCUGUAAACGAUGCCAACGGUACGAUGUGAGGAUUUGCAUUGUAUAAGAGAAAUUUAGUGUUUGGGCUCCAGGGAUAGUACGCCGGCAACGGUGAAAUUUGAAGACAUUGACGGAAGGACACCACAAGGAGUGGAGUGUGCGGCUUAAUUUGACUCAACGCGGGACAACUUACCAGGGCCGGAUGUACGUGUGAAAGAAGGGGUUGAGAUACCUGUCUUGAUUGUACAGAGAGUGGUGCAUGGCCGUUCUCAACACGUGGGGUGACUUGUCAGGUUAAUUCCGGUAACGUGUGAGACCCUUAAAAGACUGGGAACGUAAGUUUCAGGAAGGAAAGGGCAAUAACAGGUCUGUGAUGCCCUCAGAUGUUCUGGGCUGCACGCGCACUACAAUAGAAGAUGUAAAUUUCAGUGUAAAAUAAAAAUCUUUUGAAUGUUGGGAUUGAGUUUUGUAAAUGACUCAUGAACAUGGAAUUCCUAGUAAUUGCUAUUUCAUUAAGAAGCGAUGAAUGAGUCCCUGUCCUUUGUACACACCGCCCGUCGUUAUCUAAAAUGGAUGUGCAGGUGAAGUGAGUGUGAUAGCUAGCUGAACCUGUAUAACUAGAUCGGAUACAAGUCGUAACAAGGUAUCUGUAGGUGAACCUGCAGAUGGAUCAGUGAAAAAAACUAAAUAUUGUGUUGUAAUACUAAAAUAAUCUAGUACAAGGGAUGACUCGGCUCUUGAACCGAUGAAGAUCGUAAAUGAAUACGAAAAAUCAGUCAUCGAAUAGUAUUGUAUAAAUACGAUUACCCCCUGGAGUUAAGCAUAUCAUUAAGGGGCGGAGAAGAAACUAACAAGGAUUUCUGUAGUAGCGGCGAGCGAACAAGAAACAGUCCAAAUGGUAAACCUACGGGUGUUGUAAAAAUAGAMGAGAAGAAUGAAUAGACUGUGAAGUCUGACCAUAGAAGGUUAUAGUCCUGUAAUUCUUCGACUCUUGUACUGGAAGAUUAGGUUUGUUUGGUAGUGCAAACUGAAUAUAGGUGGUAGCGAUCAUCUAAGACUAAAUAUGAACAAGAGACCGAUAGCAAACAAGUACCGCGAGGGAAAGUAACGGGGUUGUAGAAACCAAUAGCGACUGAAA